GCCCUUUUCCGGUUGAUCCUGCCGGAGGUCAUUGCUAUCGGGGUCCGAUUUAGCCAUGCUAGUCGCACGAGUUUAGACUCGUGGCGGAAAGCUCAGUAACACGUGGCCAAACUACCCUGUGGACCAGAAUAACCUCGGGAAACUGAGGCUAAUGCUGGAUAGGACUCGCACCUUGGAAUGGGUCGAGUUCUAAAUGCUACGGCGCCAUAGGAUGUGGCUGCGGCCGAUUAGGUAGACGGUGGGGUAACGGCCCACCGUGCCCAUAAUCGGUACGGGUCAUGAGAGUGAGAGCCCGGAGACGGUAUCUGAGACAAGAUACCGGGCCCUACGGGGCGCAGCAGGCGCGAAACCUUUACACUGCACGAGAGUGCGAUAAGGGGACCCCGAGUGCGAGGGCAUAUAGCCCUCGCUUUUGUGUACCGUAAGAUGGUACACGAAUAAGAGCUGGGCAAGACCGGUGCCAGCCGCCGCGGUAAUACCGGCAGCUCGAGUGAUGACCGAUAUUAUUGGGCCUAAAGCGUCCGUAGCCGGCCAGACGGGUCCGUCGGGAAAUCUGCAUGCUCAACAUGCAGGCGUCCGGCGGAAACCAGCUGGCUUGGGGCCGGAAGAUCCAGAGGGUACGUCCGGGGUAGGAGUGAAAUCCUAUAAUCCUGGACGGACCACCGGUGGCGAAAGCGCUCUGGAAGGACGGACCC
rnacentral:rRNA from 1 species